GAGCGGGGGUUGCACUACUUCAGCGGGGGAAGGGGGAGUAACACGUGGGAACGUGCCUUUUGGUUUNGAACAACUGAAGGAANCUUCAUCUAGUACCGGAUAAGCCCUAACGGGGAAAGAUUUAUCGCCGAAAGACCGGCCCGGGUCUGAUUAGCUAAUUGGUGAGGUAAUGGCUCACCAGGGCGACUAUCAGUAGCUGGUCUGAGAGGAUGAUCAGCCACACUGGGACUGAGACACGGCCCAGACUCCUACGGGAGCCAGCAGUGGGGAAUAUUGGACAAUGGGGGCAACCCUGAUCCAGCCAUGCCGCGUGAGUGAUGAAGGCCCUAGGGUUGUAAAGCUCUUUUGUGCGGGAAGAUAAUGACGGUACCGCAAGAAUAAGCCCCGGCUAACUUCGUGCCAGCAGCCGCGGUAAUACUAAGGGGGCUAGCGUUGCUCGGAAUCACUGGGCGUAAAGGGUGCGUAAGCGGGUCUUUAAGUCAGGGGUGAAAUCCUGGAGCUCAACUCCAGAACUGCCUUUGACACUGAGGAUCUUGAGUCCGGAAGAGGUGAGUGGAACUGCCAGUGUAAGGUGAAAUUCGUAGAUAUUCCUAAGAACACCAGUGGCGAACGCGGCUCACUGGUCCGUACUGACACCUGAGGCACGAAACCUGGGGAGCAAAUGGAAUAGAUACCCUGGUAGUCCACGCUGUAAACGAUGAAUGCCAGCCGUUGGGGAGUGUACUCUUACGUGGCGCAUUAACGCUUCUAGCAUUCCCCUUGGGGAGUACCGGUCGCAAGAUUAAAACUCCAAGGAAAUGACGGGGGCCCGC
rnacentral:rRNA from 1 species